rnacentral:rRNA from 1 species
CCUACGGGAGGCAGCAGUGAGGAAUAUUGGUCAAUGGACGGACGUCUGAACCAGCCAUGCCGCGUGCAGGCAGACGGCUCUAUGAGUUGUAAACUGCUUUUGUACAAGGGUAAACCUGAAUACGUGUAUUCCGCUGAAAGUACUGUACGAAUAAGGAUCGGCUAACUCCGUGCCAGCAUCCGCGGUAAUACGGAGGAUCCAAGCGUUAUCCGGAUUUAUUGGGUUUAAAGGGUGCGUAGGCGGAUUGAUAAGUUAGCGGUUAAAUGUCCGAGCUUAACUCGGGAACUGCCUCUAAUACUGUUGACCUAGAGAGUAGAUGCGGUAGGCCGAAUGUAUGGUGUAGCGGUGAAAUGCUUAGAGAUCAUACAGAACACCGAUUGCGAAGGCAGCUUACCAAUCUAUAUCUGACGUUGAGGCACGAAAGCGUGGGGAGCAAACAGGAGUAGAUACCCCUGUAGUC